rnacentral:rRNA from 1 species
UCUGGCGUCUUUGGCGUCCGAGUUGUAAUUUGAAGAAGGUAUCUUUGGGCCCGGCUCUUGUCUAUGUUCCUUGGAACAGGACGUCACAGAGGGUGAGAAUCCCGUGCGAUGAGAUGACCCGGGUCUGUGUAAAGUUCCUUCGACGAGUCGAGUUGUUUGGGAAUGCAGCUCUAAGUGGGUGGUAAAUUCCAUCUAAAGCUAAAUAUUGGCGAGAGACCGAUAGCGAACAAGUACAGUGAUGGAAAGAUGAAAAGAACUUUGAAAAGAGAGUGAAAAAGUACGUGAAAUUGUUGAAAGGGAAGGGCUUGAGAUCAGACUUGGUAUUUUGCAUGCUGCUCUCUCGGGGGCGGCCGCUGCGGUUUACCGGGCCAGCAUCGGUUUGGAGCGGCAGGAUAAUGGCGGAGGAAUGUGGCACGGCUUCUGCUGUGUGUUAUAGCCUCUGACGAUACUGCCAGCCUAGACCGAGGACUGCGGUUUUUACCUAGGAUGUUGGCAUAAUGAUCUUAAGUCGCCCGUCUU